rnacentral:rRNA from 1 species
UACAGAGGGUGCGAGCGUUGUCCGGAAUCACUGGGCGUAAAGGGCGCGUAGGCGGCCGGGUAAGUAGAGGGUGAAAUCUCGUGGCUCAACCGCGAGGCUGCCUUCUAGACUGCUUGGCUUGAGCACGGUAGAGGCUGGUGGAAUUCCCGGUGUAGCGGUGGAAUGUGUAGAGAUCAGGAGGAACAUCGGUGGCGAAGGCGGCCAGCUGGGCCGUUGCUGACGCUGAGGCGCGAAAGCGUGGGGAGCAAACAGG